UUGAAAUAGCUCAGCCUCAGUCUCCAGCUGAGAUCCAGCACAGCUGAUCUUGGUGUAGGGCAUAAAUCUGCACAGAGCUCCCAGAUGCUCCUUCUGUGCUGGGGGUAGUUGUACUUGAUCCUAUGGGCUUGGGAAGGUCUUGGCAAAUGUGGAAUUUUUCUCCUUUUGCAGAGCUGUACGUCUCCAGACCA
rnacentral:lncRNA from 1 species